rnacentral:rRNA from 1 species
GACGAACGCUGGCGGCGUGCCUAACACAUGCAAGUCGAACGGAAGUAAGAGCUUCGGUUUUGCUUUAGUGGCGAACGGGUGAGUAACGCGUGAGGAACCUGCCUUUCAGUGGGGGACAACAGUUGGAAACGACUGCUAAUACCGCAUAAUGUUUCCGGUCCGCAUGGACUGGAAACCAAAGCUUUAUGUGCUGAAGGGUGGGCUCGCGUCCGAUUAGCUAGUUGGCAGGGUGAUAGCCUACCAAGGCGACGAUCGGUAGCCGACCUGAGAGGGUGAUCGGCCACAUUGGAACUGAGAUACGGUCCAA